ACUGCACCGACAGUUGUUCUUCGCCUCCACAGUCCAACGCUCCGACCACAUUCACGGCCCGCUGCCUCCCGCCCCCUCCACGCGCGUGCACAUCGAUGACGGAAUGCGGAAACAGGUGAGUUUCUGUGUAAAAUCCCCGGUGGGCUUUCUCCGUCUGAACAUCGGGAUUCUGGAGAGGAGGAGGUCCGGGAGACCAGCAGGCCUCCUCUGGAAGGAGAGUCACAGGAGCAUCCCUGAUCUGAUGGACAUCUGCAGAUUCCAGUUGGCUCCUCUCUGCUCCUCCUCCUACACUUGGCUGUGGACCC